UGUUUGAUGUUCUAACGUGGACCCGUGAUCCGGGUUGCGGACAGUGUCUGGUGGGUAGUUUGACUGGGGCGGUCUCCUCCUAAAGAGUAACGGAGGAGCACGAAGGUUGGCUAAUCCUGGUCGGACAUCAGGAGGUUAGUGCAAUGGCAUAAGCCAGCUUGACUGCGAGCGUGACGGCGCGAGCAGGUGCGAAAGCAGGUCAUAGUGAUCCGGUGGUUCUGAAUGGAAGGGCCAUCGCUCAACGGAUAAAAGGUACUCCGGGGAUAACAGGCUGAUACCGCCCAAGAGUUCAUAUCGACGGCGGUGUUUGGCACCUCGAUGUCGGCUCAUCACAUCCUGGGGCUGAAGUAGGUCCCAAGGGUAUGGCUGUUCGCCAUUUAAAGUGGUACGCGAGCUGGGUUUAGAACGUCGUGAGACAGUUCGGUCCCUAUCUGCCGUGGGCGCUGGAGAACUGAG
rnacentral:rRNA from 1 species